CCUACGGGAGGCAGCAGUGGGGAAUCUUGCGCAAUGGGCGAAAGCCUGACGCAGCCAUGCCGCGUGAAUGAUGAAGGUCUUAGGAUUGUAAAAUUCUUUCAGUAGGGACGAUAAUGACGGUACCUACAGAAGAAGCCCCGGCUAACUUCGUGCCAGCAGCCGCGGUAAUACGAAGGGGGCUAGCGUUGCUCGGAAUUACUGGGCGUAAAGGGAGCGUAGGCGGACAUUUAAGUCAGGGGUGAAAUCCCAGAGCUCAACUCUGGAACUGCCUUUGAUACUGGGUGUCUUGAGUGUGAGAGAGGUAUGUGGAACUCCGAGUGUAGAGGUGAAAUUCGUAGAUAUUCGGAAGAACACCAGUGGCGAAGGCGACAUACUGGCUCAUUACUGACGCUGAGGCUCGAAAGCGUGGGGAGCAAACAGGAUUAGAUACCCUGGUAGUCCACGCCGUAAACGAUGAUUGCUAGUUGUCGGGAUGUUUACAUCUCGGUGACGCAGCUAACGCAUUAAGCAAUCCGCCUGGGGAGUACGGUCGCAAGAUUAAAACUCAAAGGAAUUGACGGCUGAGACGNGCGACGACGACGACGAGGGAGAGG
rnacentral:rRNA from 1 species